AUUGAACGCUGGCGGCAGGCCUAACACAUGCAAGUCGAGCGAGCGGCGGAAGGGUGAGGAAGGUCGGGGAAACUGCCUGAUGGAGGGGGAUAAAUACGGGAAACGGUAGCGAAAACCGUAUACAAUCAGAUUGGCCCCUAUGGGAAUGGCUAGUAGGGGGGGGAACGGCUCACCUAGGCGACGAGCCCUAGCGGUUCUGAGAGGAUGACCGGCCACACUGGAACUGAGACACGGUCCAGACUCCUACUGGAGGCAGCAGGGUGGAAUCUUGCCCACUGGGCGAAAGCCUGAUGCAGCCAUGCCGCGUGUGUGAAGAAGGCCUUCGGAUUGUACAGCUCUUUCGUCGGGGAAGCGUUACCCGCAGAGAAAGCCCCGGCUAACUCCGUGCCAGCAGCCGCGGUAAUUG
rnacentral:rRNA from 1 species